CCUACGGGUGGCAGCAGUGAGCAAUAUUGGUCAAUGGGAGAGAUCCUGAACCAGCCAAGCCGCGUGAGGGAAGACGGCCCUAUGGGUUGUAAACCUCUUUUGUCGGGGAACAAAAUCCGGGACGUGUCCCGGACUGCGUGUAUCCGAAGAAAAAGCAUCGGCUAACUCCGUGCCAGCAGCCGCGGUAAUACGGAGGAUGCGAGGUUUAUCCGGAUUUAUUGGGUUAAAAGGGUGAGUAGGCGGUCCGUUAAGUCAGCGGUAAAAUUGCGGGGCUCAACCCCGUCGCGCCGUUGAAACUGGGUGCCUUGAGUUGGCGAGAGGUACGCGGAAUGCGCGGUGUAGCGGUGAAAUGCAUAGAUAUCGCGCAGAACUCCGAUUGCGAAGGCAGCGUACCGGCGCCAAACUGACGCUGAGGCACGAAAGCGUGGGGAUCGAACAGGGUUAGAUACCCCAGUAGUC
rnacentral:rRNA from 1 species